UACGUAGGGUGCAGGCGUUAAUCGGAAUUACUGGGCGUAAAGCGUGCGCAGGCGGUUUGCUAAGGCAGGUGUGAAAUCCCCGGGCUUAACCUGGGAACUGCGCUUGUUACUGGCAGGCUUGAGUGUGGCAGAGGGGGGUGGAAUUCCACGUGUAGCAGUGAAAUGCGUAGAGAUGUGGAGGAACACCGAUGGCGAAGGCAGCCCCCUGGGCUGAGAUUGACGCUCAGGCACGAAAGCGUGGGGAGCAAACAGG
rnacentral:rRNA from 1 species